rnacentral:rRNA from 1 species
GACGAACGCUGGCGGCGUGCUUAACACAUGCAAGUCGAGCGGUAAGGCCCUUUCGGGGGUACACGAGCGGCGAACGGGUGAGUAACACGUGGGUGACCUGCCUUUAGCUCUGGGAUAAGCCUGGGAAACUGGGUCUAAUACCGGAUAUGACUCCGCGGUGCAUGCUGUGGGGUGGAAAGCCUUGUGCGGCUGGAGAUGGGCCCGCGGCCUAUCAGCUUGUUGGUGGGGUGAUGGCCACCAAGGCGACGACGGGUAGCCGGCCUGAGAGGGCGACCGGCCACACUGGGACUGAGACACGGCCCAGACUCCUACGGGAGGCAGCAGUGGGGAAUCUUGCGCAAUGGGCGAAAGCCUGACGCAGCGACGCCGCGUGAGGGAUGACGGCCUUUGGGUUGUAAACCUCUUUCAGCCCUGACGAAGCGAAAAGUGACGGUAGGGCAGAAGAAGCACCGGCCAACUACGUGCCAGCAGCCGCGGUAAC